GACGAACGCUGGCGGCGUGCUUAACACAUGCAAGUCGAACGGAAAGGCCCUGCUUUUGUGGGGUGCUCGAGUGGCGAACGGGUGAGUAACACGUGAGUAACCUGCCCUUGACUUUGGGAUAACUUCAGGAAACUGGGGCUAAUACCGGAUAGGAGCUCCUGCUGCGUGGUGGGGGUUGGAAAGUUUCGGCGGUUGGGGAUGGACUCGCGACUUAUCAGCUUGUUGGUGGGGUAGUGGCUUACCAAGGCUUUGACGGGUAGCCGGCCUGAGAGGGUGACCGGCCACAUUGGGACUGAGAUACGGCCCAGACUCCUACGGGAGGCAGCAGUGGGGAAUAUUGCACAAUGGGCGGAAGCCUGAUGCAGCAACGCCGCGUGCGGGAUGACGGCCUUCGGGUUGUAAACCGCUUUCGCCUGUGACGAAGCGUGAGUGACGGUAAUGGGUAAAGAAGCACCGGCUAACUACGUG
rnacentral:rRNA from 1 species